AUUGAACGCUGGCGGCAGGCCUAAUACAUGCAAGUCGAACGGUAACAUAAGAAAGCUUGCUUUCUUGAUGACGAGUGGCGGACGGGUGAGUAAUAUUUGGGAAGCUACCUGAUAGAGGGGGACAACAGUUGGAAACGACUGCUAAUACCGCAUACGGCCUGAGGGUGAAAGCAGCAAUGCGCUAUCAGAUGCGCCCAAACGGGAUUAGCUAGUAGGUGAGGUAAAGGCUCACCUAGGCGACGAUCUCUAGCUGGUCUGAGAGGAUGAUCAGCCACAUUGGGACUGAGACACGGCCCAGACUCCUACGGGAGGCAGCAGUAGGGAAUAUUGCACAAUGGAGGAAACUCUGAUGCAGCCAUGCCGCGUGUGUGAAGAAGGCCUUCGGGUUGUAAAGCACUUCGGUAGGGAGGAACAAAUGACGUUACCUCAGAAGAAGCACCGGCUAACUCCGUGCCAGCAGCCGC
rnacentral:rRNA from 1 species